rnacentral:tRNA from 1 species
GGAGAGGUGCCAGAGUGGCCGAAUGGAGCACACUGCUAAUGUGUUGAUCUCGUAAGGGAUCCCUGGGUUCGAAUCCCAGCCUCUCCG